GACGAACGCUGGCGGCGUGCUUAACACAUGCAAGUCGAACGGAAAGGCCCCCAUCUUGGUGGGGGUGCUCGAGCGGCGGACGGGUGAGUAACACGUGGGUGAUCUGCCCUGUACUUCGGGAUAAGCUUGGGAAACUGGGUCUAAUACCGGAUAGGACCAUGGUUUAGUGUCUUAUGGUGGAAAGAUUAUUUUUUUGGUGCAGGAUGAGCUCGUGGCCUAUCAGCUUGUUGGUGGGGUAAUGGCCGACCAAGGCGGCGACGGGUAGCCGGCCUGAGAGGGUGGACGGUGACAUUGGGACUGGGACAAGGCCCAGACGCCUACGGGAGGCAGCAGUGGUGAAUAAUGGACAAUGGGCGCAAGCCUGCAGCAGCGACGCCGCGUGGAGGAUGUCGGCCUUCGAAUUGUAAGCUACUUGCGAUAGAGAAGAGGCCACGCUUUUUGGGAGUGGUGACGGUACCUUUGUUAAGAAGCACCGGCUAACUACGUG
rnacentral:rRNA from 1 species